CCCUUAGAUGUUCUGGGCCGCACGCGCGCUACACUGAUACAUUCAACGAGUCUAAAACCUGGUCUGAUAGGGCUGGGUAAUCUUUUGAAUGUGCAUCGUGAUUGGGAUAGAUGAUUGCAAUUCUUCAUCUUCAACGAGGAAUGCCUAGUAAACGCAAGUCAUCAGCUUGCAUUGAUUACGUCCCUGCCCUUUGUACACACCGCCCGUCACUCCUACCGAUUGAAUGUUCCGAUGAAUACCAUGGACUGAGAGUAUGAAUGGGUUCGCCUAUUUCUGCUUCUCGGGAAGUGGAGUAAAUCUUAACAUUUAGAGGAAGGAGAAGUCGUAACA
rnacentral:rRNA from 1 species